AACGAACGCUGGCGGCAGGCUUAACACAUGCAAGUCGAACGCCCCGCAAGGGGAGUGGCAGACGGGUGAGUAACGCGUGGGAACAUACCCUUUUCUACGGAAUAGCUCUGGGAAACUGGAAUUAAUACCGUAUACGCCCUACGGGGGCAAGAUUUAUCGGGGAAGGAUUGGCCCGCGUUGGAUUAGCUAGUUGGUGGGGUAAAGGCCUACCAAGGCGACGAUCCAUAGCUGGUCUGAGAGGAUGAUCAGCCACAUUGGGACUGAGACACGGCCCAAACUCCUACGGGAGGCAGCAGUGGGGAAUAUUGGACAAUGGGCGCAAGCCUGAUCCAGCCAUGCCGCGUGAGUGAUGAAGGCCUUAGGGUUGUAAAGCUCUUUCACCGAUGAAGAUAAUGACGGUAGUCGGAGAAGAAGCCCCGGCUAACUUCGUGCCAGCAGCCGCCGUAUAC
rnacentral:rRNA from 1 species